GACGAACGCUGGCGGCGCGCCUAACACAUGCAAGUCGAACGAGAGAGGAAGAGCUUGCUUUUCCGAUCGAGUGGCGAACGGGUGAGUAACGCGUGAGGAACCUGCCUCAAAGAGGGGGACAACAGUUGGAAACGACUGCUAAUACCGCAUAAGCCCACGGCUCGGCAUCGAGCAGAGGGAAAAGGAGCAAUCCGCUUUGAGAUGGCCUCGCGUCCGAUUAGCUAGUUGGUGAGGUAACGGCCCACCAAGGCGACGAUCGGUAGCCGGACUGAGAGGUUGAACGGCCACAUUGGGACUGAGACACGGCCCAGACUCCUACGGGAGGCAGCAGUGGGGAAUAUUGCACAAUGGGGGAAACCCUGAUGCAGCGACGCCGCGUGGAGGAAGAAGGUCUUCGGAUUGUAAACUCCUGUUGUUGAGGAAGAUA
rnacentral:rRNA from 1 species